UACAGAGGGUGCAAGCGUUGUUCGGAAUUAUUGGGCGUAAAGCGCGUGUAGGCGGCUUUGCAAGUCGGGUGUGAAAGCCCUCAGCUCAACUGAGGAAGUGCGCCCGAAACUGCAGAGCUUGAGUACCGGAGAGGAUGGCGGAAUUCCCCAAGUAGAGGUGAAAUUCGUAGAUAUGGGGAGGAACACCGGUGGCGAAGGCGGCCAUCUGGACGGAUACUGACGCUGAGGCGCGAAAGCCAGGGGAGCGAACGGG
rnacentral:rRNA from 1 species